AGUGAACGCUGGCGGUAGGCCUAACACAUGCAAGUCGAACGGCAGCACAGUAAGGGCUUGCUCUUACGGGUGGCGAGUGGCGGACGGGUGAGGAAUACAUCGGAAUCUACUUUUUCGUGGGGGAUAACGUAGGGAAACUUACGCUAAUACCGCAUACGACCUACGGGUGAAAGCAGGGGAUCUUCGGACCUUGCGCGAUUGAAUGAGCCGAUGUCGGAUUAGCUAGUUGGCGGGGUAAAGGCCCACCAAGGCGACGAUCCGUAGCUGGUCUGAGAGGAUGAUCAGCCACACUGGAACUGAGCCACGGUCCAGACUCCUACGGGAGGCAGCAGUGGGGAAUAUUGGACAAUGGGCGCAAGCCUGAUCCAGCCAUACCGCGUGGGUGAAGAAGGCCUUCGGGUUGUAAAGCCCUUUUGUUGGGAAAGAAAAGCAGCAGGUUAAUACCCCGCUGUUCUGACGGUACCCAAAGAAUAAGCACCGGCUAACUUCGUG
rnacentral:rRNA from 1 species